ACCUCUGUGCGUGUGUGUGUAUGUGUUGUGUGCAUGUGUGUGUGUGUGUGUGUGUGGGGGUGGGGGAUGGGGUAGGUAUGUGCUUUUGGCUCAUGUUUGUGAUGAUAACUGAAGUCUUUUGUGGGUCCGACCUGUUGUAGGGUGUGGGGGAAAGUGAAGGAAGAGAAUGAAGGUGAGUCCCCGCCGUUGCAAACCUUCACCAAACCACGCGGCCCAGUUUUCACGCAGUAGACGGUGAUGCCCGAGAAGACGGCCCCCAUGACGAAAGCCAGGAUGACUGCAAUGGCCAAGAGGGUGACGGGAACCAGCUGGUCGUGGCCUUUGAGGGUCCUCCUCCCUUCAAUUGUGACAUCACAGUUGGUUGCUGUGGAAAUGAUUGUCCUGUGACAAAGGAUUGUGACUUAAGUAGAAGCAGCAAAUAUCUCUUAAGAAAUAAAGAUUCUGUGAUCCAACAAAUACCCUUGGUAAUAAAAGGCAGUCAAGGCAAUUCACCAUAAGGAAAGAGUGUACAAGACGUACAGAAACUGAUUCUUCA
rnacentral:lncRNA from 1 species